CCCAAAAGCUGUGAAAGGGCGCACUGAGAACUAUUAGAUGCAUUACCUAGCAAAAGGAAGUAUGAGGAUGAUGGUGAUGUAUCUGAGGACUCGAUUGACGAUGAAGAUGGACUUGAGUAUGACAAGAAUCUUAAUGCUUCUCCGUGGAAUCAAACUUCAUUCAUGUUUUUCAGAAAAUGGGAUAGAAAUGCUAUGCUCUUCUGCUGCUCAUAUUCAUGGUUUUGUUGAUUGGAGGCUUUUCGUCAGUUUCAGCUGCUACUACUACUACAGGAAGUAAGUGUAUUAAAACUAGAAAAAAGAAAUGGUACACUUUUAUACUAUUUCAAUUCCAAAAAUGGAAUUUGGGUGUUUGCAUUUAAGAGGGUUGGUGUUGAUAGUACCUCUUUUUUUUAGCAUUUCAGCUGAAAUCUCUCAUUUUUUGUAGGAUUUGUAGGUGGGGUUUUCUCCAAUGCAUUGUCUGCACUCUGGAAAUGG